ACGACUGUGACACAUGUGAGAAGAUAAAAACACUGAUAAGACACUUUCAGCUGCAGUGUGAAUAUAUAUGGUGUGUGUGUGUGUGUGUGUGUGUGUGAGACCCCGUGGAGGCCUGACUACCUCCCUGCCCCCUCUGGUGCUGCUUGUUAAUCACAGGGUGAUCAUUUCUAAGGAAAACAGAGGCGCCGGGAGCGAAAACAAACCGGUGAGAAUGUGAAAGGAAAGCCGGAGCGGCGGGGAAUUCAUGAGGGAGAAUGUUAUCGCUGCGACUAAAGGUCAUAUUGUUCACUUCUUCCUGACAGGCAAAGAGAGAGAGAGAGAGAAGGGAAGAGAACAGAAAUAUGGUGGUUAUAAACUUUGUGGCCAGUGUAGAAAAGUGAAAAAGUGCUUAAUACAAGAACACACAAAUGAUUAAACAGGUUAACUCGCAUCCUCGACACAUAUCCAACAACCAGGGACAGAAGUUUUGUCCUCCACCAGCCACAAUGGUUGGUUGACUCCAAAAUUCACCAUGUUAUCAGUUUUAUAUACAUUUUUUUAGUAUACAAUAACAUCUUGAAACAACAAUGUUUGGGUGUCUGACAGUGGCUCACAGGGUAUAAACAUUCAACAGACAAAACGGAAUCUUACAUUUGGCUGGUGGUGUU